AUUGAACGCUGGCGGCAGGCCUAACACAUGCAAGUCGAACGAGUGGCGGACGGGUGAGUAAUGUCUGGGAAACUGCCCGAUGGAGUGGGAUAACUACUGGAAACGGUAGCUAAUACCGCAUACCAUCGGAUGUGCCCAGAUGGGAUGAGCUAGUAGGUGGGGUAACGGCUCACCUAGGCGACGAUCCCUAGCUGGUCUGAGAGGAUGACCAGCCACAGUGGAACUGAGACACGGUCCAGACGCCUACGGGAGGCAGCAGUGGGGAAUAUUGCACAAGGGGCGCAAUCCGGAUGCAGCCAUGCCGCGUGUAGGAAGAAGGCCUUCGGGUGGUAAAGUACUUUCAGCGAGGAGGCGUUACUCGCAGAAGAAGCACCGGCUAACUCCGUGCCAGCAGCCGCGGUAAUAC
rnacentral:rRNA from 1 species